CCUACGGGAGGCAGCAGUGAGGAAUAUUGGUCAAUGGACGCAAGUCUGAACCAGCCAUGCCGCGUGCAGGAUGACGGCUCUAUGAGUUGUAAACUGCUUUUGUACGAGGGUAAACCCCGAUACGUGUAUCGGGUUGAAAGUAUCGUACGAAUAAGGAUCGGCUAACUCCGUGCCAGCAGCCGCGGUAAUACGGAGGAUCCGAGCGUUAUCCGGAUUUAUUGGGUUUAAAGGGUGCGUAGGCGGUUUGAUAAGUUAGAGGUGAAAUGUCGGGGCUCAACCCCGAAACUGCCUCUAAUACUGUUAGACUAGAGAAUAGUUGCGGUAGGCGGAAUGUAAGGUGUAGCGGUGAAAUGCUUAGAGAUCAGACAGAACACCGAUUGCGAAGGCAGCUUACCAAACUAUAUCUGACGUUGAGGCACGAAAGCGUGGGUAGCAAACAGGAUUAGAUACCCCAGUAGUC
rnacentral:rRNA from 1 species